rnacentral:rRNA from 1 species
AUUGAACGCUGGCGGCAGGCUUAACACAUGCAAGUCGAGCGAGCGGCGGACGGGUGAGUAAUGUCUGGGAAACUGCCUGAUGGCGGGGGAUAACUACUGGAAACGGUAGCUAAUACCGCAUACCAUCAGAUGUGCCCAGAUCGGAUUAGCUAGUAGGUGGGGUAAUGGCUCACCUAGGCGACGACCCCUAGCUGGUCUGAGAGGAUGACCAGCCGCACUGGAACUAAGAGACGGUCGAGACUCCUACGGGAGGCAGAAGGGGGGAAUAUUGCACAAUGGGCCCAGGCCUGAUGCAGCCAUGCCACGUGUGUGAAGAAGGCCUUCGGGUUGUAAAGCACUUUCAGCGAGGAGGCGUUACUCGCAGAAGAAGCACCGGCUAACUCAGUGCCAGCAGCCGCGGUAAUUC